rnacentral:rRNA from 1 species
UACGAAGGGGGCUAGCGUUGCUCGGAAUUACUGGGCGUAAAGCGCACGUAGGCGGGUUCUUAAGUCAGGGGUGAAAUCCUGGAGCUCAACUCCAGAACUGCCUUUGAUACUGAGGACCUCGAGUCCGGGAGAGGUGAGUGGAACUGCGAGUGUAGAGGUGAAAUUCGUAGAUAUUCGCAAGAACACCAGUGGCGAAGGCGGCUCACUGGCCCGGUACUGACGCUGAGGUGCGAAAGCGUGGGGAGCAAACAGG